rnacentral:rRNA from 1 species
AUUGAACGCUGGCGGAAUGCUUUACACAUGCAAGUCGAACGGCAGCACGGGGGCAACCCUGGUGGCGAGUGGCGAACGGGUGAGUAAUACAUCGGAACGUGCCCAGUCGUGGGGGAUAACGUAGCGAAAGUUACGCUAAUACCGCAUACGAUCUACGGAUGAAAGCGGGGGACCGGAAGGCCUCGCGCGCUUGGAGCGGCCGAUGUCAGAUUAGGUAGUUGGUGAGGUAAAGGCUCACCAAGCCGACGAUCUGUAGCUGGUCUGAGAGGACGACCAGCCACACUGGGACUGAGACACGGCCCAGACUCCUACGGGAGGCAGCAGUGGGGAAUUUUGGACAAUGGGCGCAAGCCUGAUCCAGCCAUUCCGCGUGCAGGACGAAGGCCUUCGGGUUGUAAACUGCUUUUGUACGGAACGAAAAGGCUCUGGUUAAUACCUGGGGCUCAUGACGGUACCGUAUGAAUAAGCACCGGCUAACUACGUGCCAGCCGCCGCCGUAA